UUCAUUUUGAUUGACAGGUCUCCGGCACAAUCGUCGCACUCUUCCGUUGUCUCGUAGUAACAGAGCGAAAAUGGCGUAGAGCGGAGGCUGUACGGCGAAGGGGACGAGGGGACCUUCUCCUCCCCGGGGCGUAAGCAGGGAGAAAACGGGGACCGGGGGUUUUCGGUUUAGUCUUCUCGAAAUGAAUCCUCAGCCGGCGCGGCCAACUCUCCCCAGAAUAAACCCUGCACACAACCAGACUGGGAGACCGAAAUGUGUCACCGUAGAGGAAGAAACCCCCUGGCUUUUGUUUACCAUUAUGAGCAGCUGCAGCUCGAACCACAGUGGAAAUACCUCCGCAUCAUUUCGGACCAAGGAUGGGCUUUCCCGUCAAUGCAGUUGUAAAAGCCCAGAUCACUUCCACGGCUACCCGGACCUGUGGAGGUAAAGGACGAAGAGUCAUUGUGAAGAUGACCUCUUUUGGGCUUUUGGGACACGGCUGCCCUCCUUCCUAAUGUUGCUGGGACAUUGGCCUCCACAGCCCCACCCCCUUGUCCUGGCCUGUUUCUACAGCAUGCUUAUCUGUCAGGACAUCUGCCAAGAUUGCAGUGACUAUGUCUACAUGUAGCUAAACGUUCUUAUGUAAACAUAGUCACUGUUGCUUCCUGACUAAGUAAAGAAUAUCCUCACACUCUGUAAUUAGAUCAAAGCAGUUUGAUAAUGAAGAAACUAAUCCCGUUUCUUGGGAAGAAAGUAAAGACACAAGAUACUGUAGCAAAGAUCAACGCCUGUGAUUAAAUUAGACUCAUAGGGUGUAUUAUUUGUUUUUUUGCACUACCUCAUCGCCAUAACAAGUCCAACAGGAGUGAAAGGAAGGGUGAUCAGUAUGAGUAACUUAAUGAUUGUCAAGCACCCCAGCAGUCAUGUAUCGUUCCUGGCUGAAUUUGGUUUUGGUUAGUAAGUCAGGUUGCUGACCGGUGAAUAGGAGAAGACUGAGCAGCCCAGAAGCACAUGUUUACUUUCAGUUCAUACAUUUUGAGGAAAAUGUCGACUCACUCAAACUGUGCAUCUUUUCUAAAGGAAGGUCACAACAUAGUAUUUUAUUUACUCCAUGCUUUAAUUUUUGCAUUUCAUUUUUGUGCACUCCUUUUUGCAAGUCUGCAGGUUUAUUCACAAAUUGGAGGUGGAGACAGAAUUGCCAAUAUUCCUCUUGUGAUUUAAUCCUUGAGAUCCCUAAAAAUCUUAGUUAGUCUUUUAUUCGAAUGUCUAGUUCAAUUUUACCCCCCUCCAACAUAUUUUUAAUUUGUCUUUGUACCUGGAAAUAUUCCCAUUUUGUUCUUUAUUUAUAUAUAUAUAUAUAACAGGACAUUCCCUACACGCUACAGGUAGAGUCAGAGUUGACCAUUUGAUUCCUUUUGUGCCGUGAACUGUGAGACAAGAUAAUCUAGCCCCCCCCACCCCCCUCCCAAAAAAAGUGAAUCUGGCUCGCCCAGAAAAGUUUAUCAGACAUCCUGCUUUGUCUCUACCUGCUUUUUCUGUGUGUCCAGUAAGCUCUUACACCUGAGAGAGACCAGUGCUGAAAUAGCAGCUUUAAUUCCUUUGAUUCAAGUUUACAGUGAAUUCGUCCUUACCUGAAGGAAACCCUGGUCUCAUUUGUUUUUUAUCUGAUUUCUAUAUUUAAAAAAAAAAAAGAAAUCACAUUUACCGGGAUAUGUGCAAUAUUUGAUCUUAACUGUCAUGUUGUUGACCAAACUGUAUAUUGUAUAAACAAGUGACAAGUUGUUUGAAAGCAACAAAAUCACCAAUGUCUUCCAUUAAGAUAUGUAUAGACUCAUGUGCAUUAGCUUAUUUAGCGGGACUGUGGUGCCAACAUUAUAGUAGCCAUGCAUGACCAGUAGUGAUGCUUGCUUCAUGAAGAAUAGUGAAAUCGACUUCUAGACUAAGCUGGAGCUUAAAACUGUGGAUUUUGAAAAAUGAAAGGGUGAUAGAUUGAGGCACUACAUAUAAAUACAGCUUUGCCCUAAAAUCUUAGACUAAUGCAAGAUCUCCUUUUUAUUCCAUGUCUUGGGUAUAGAAUAAGUUGCAUAAUAAAUAUACAAUAUACAAUUAAAGAACACAAUCAGAGUAUGCAGUUGUUGAUUAAGUAUUGAUUCAGCUAGUUCUAUAUAGGCAGAUAUGCUCAAUAUAAGUAAGUACUUUCUAACAGAACUGCUGUACAUUGUUAGGAUUCUUAUCUGAAAAUAAUUUUUUUAAAAAAGCUUAAGAGAUGUCCUAAAUUAUAUGUAUGCACUCUUGAGCAUCAAAAACAUUAGGCAGUUUUAUGCAACAGCCAAAAAGCUCCCCAAAACAAGUCCCACAUUUGACAAUUACAGAGACCUUUAGAGAAAUGUUAUAGUAUUUUAAUCUUAGAUUUGGAUAGAAUUGCUAGGGAUCCGACGCGUUUUAGUCCUAGAAUUAAGAUCUCACCAUGACAUUGUAUUGUACAUAAUACCUCAUAGUUGUGGGAUUCAGAGCGAUAUAUUUUAAUCCAUAAAAUUGUAUUUGAUUAGAGUUUUAGAAGCAAUAACCUACAAUAAUGCAUGAGUUUAGUGCCAGGGUGUAAGUGUUAAAAGGAGUCUGUAAUGUCAUGUGGAAAGGAUCCCCCCACCCCCCCUUCACUUUUAUGCAUAUUGUAGCAAUCUAUUAGUCACUUUUUGGGGAAGUUGUACAAUAUUUCGCUUCAGAAUACAGUAUCACUUAUGAAGGGAUACUUCCUGCAGAACAAGGUAUAUGUGAGGGCUGCUGUAGCAUUAUGGUAUUACUCUGAUAAAUGAAACAAAAUACUUCUUUUUCACAGACUAAUUUCCCUGCCUUUUUUAAGCACCAAAACAAUAAUCUAAACUAAUUGGUACAUGAGAGAUGCUUUGAAUUUCAAUUCUUGUAGCAUUUUUACAUCUACAAAACCACCUCUUCCUUUCAAAAUACAGACUUUCAGUAACUCUGUGGCUGCUGCAAAGGACUUACUGAACGAACUUGACAUUUGUUUGAAAAGCACUUUCUCUCUAUGUACUGACUUGCACCAUCAUCAUCAUCCUGUCUUGAAUACUGUGUUCUAAAAACCCUGUGAUGCUCUUUGUGGGGAUUUAUAAUCACAAUUUAUAAGCAAGUAGGCAACAUGAAUAUGUGGGUUUUAAAAAUAUGCAUGAUUUAGCAUAAUGAAUGCAUUGUAUUGCAUGCAAUAAUGUGAAUGAGUGUAACUAGGCUAUUGAAAUGUUCAUAUCAGAUGUUCUGUGACAAGGUGACAACUUGGGGAUGGCUGUUUGACACAACAGCAAGCAUGUUGAAGUAGCUUUGAUCAUCAGUUGUAGUUUUUACAGACUAAACUGCACCAAAAAAAGAAGUAACAGAGAGUAGUUUUAAGUGUAUCUCCUCUCAAUCUCUGUUGUGCCAAACAUGACCAGGGCAGUACAGCCACAGUGCAGCUGAAAAACACCAUUUAACCUUUGUUCCCAUGGGGAAAAAUUAACAGACGCUUAGGUAAAAUUACAUUACUUUGUUGAUCAACUUUUCCAUGGAGAAGGUGGUCUGUGUAGAAACUAUGCACUCCAGAGGGAGGACAUGGGCAUGCUUAUUACGUGUGAGCCUCUUGUCUGGUUUUGUAUUAACUUAAAAGAGAAAAGGAAUCUGUAUCAGAAAUUCAGCAAUAAAAUGCAGCAUGGUGCCAACUGGA